GGGAAUGUGGCUUAGUGGUAGAGUGCUUGCCUAGCCUGCAUGAAGCUCUAGGUUCAAUUCCUCAGUACCA
rnacentral:tRNA from 1 species